AAGUCGUAACAAGGUAACCGUAGGUGAACCUGCGGUUGGAUCAUUACUGAAUACUCAUCCGGGAUUCCUCCCCGGACAGGCUCCUCGGAGUUUUGUCCGGCGGCCGGGAAUCCCGCAUGAUAUUACACCCCCUUGUGAAUUGUUACCCGUAUUUUGGCAGCCGUCCGAGGAAUUCCCCCUUUAACUUAAGCGGGGUUUUUCUUAUCCGGCAGCCAACAAAAAAAAAACUCCAAGUUUUUAAAAAAACGGAACUUUUUCAUUCCGUCUCUCAUGUAACAUAAUUUUGAAUUUUGUAUACAUGUAAAGAAAAAUGUAAACAACUUUUGACAACGGAUCUCUUGGCUCUC
rnacentral:misc_RNA from 1 species